GGCUAUUAUGCAUGUCCUGAAGCACGGAAAGCAGCAUUUCAACUUGGGAUACUACAAAUAGAUCAUAGCAAAGUCUUAUCGCACGAAACGACAUCACUGCUUUAAGCAGGUAGCUGUAGAUGGAAGACCCUCAGCGAAGACCAACCAGAAGUGGAGCUCAGCCAAGAGGGUGAGCACUUAAACAGUUACAACUGUUUUGCAGGCUUUGCCUCAACUUCCACAGGUGUCCUUAGUAUUAGUCAGGCAGGUUGUGGGCAGUUUUCAGGCGCUGAUUCUCUUCAUCCAUCAGCACGCGUGACCCCCUUGUCUCAGUCUUCUCAGAUCUGCUCCAAAUUCACCUCUCUCUCUUUUCCACAUUUCAGCCCAGGAGGCUGGAUUGAUGACAUCUGCUUAAAGUUCUUUGAGUCCUUAAUGACAUUCAGUCUGAAAAGGGGAAAGUUGAAGGCAAUUUCAAGAUUCUACCCUCAAAAGGAAGAUCUUCAUGGCUUUACAUGCUGAAGAAAACCAGCUAAAGAUAUUAUCAGAAAAGGAAGAAGUGGGUAGAAGAAUUUAAAACAAAAACCAGAAACCAAACCAAUAACUGGAAGCAGAUUUUCGGUCAAUAUCCCGAUACUACUACCACUACUGCCACCCCACCACCAAUAACAAGAAGGACAACAACAGUCAAGCUUCACUUUUAUCAUGCCAGAAAGGUUCCCAAUGCUUUAUAAUAAAUUAUGUACAAAUGUAGUGGUUUCUCCAUAUAUGUAGAUCACCUAUAUUAUUUUUUACUUAACAUAUUUUUUAAAAUGGGUGUAGCCCAAAUAUUCCUAUUUACUUAAGCCUCCUCUUGAGAGUUGUUAUCCUUGAAAGAAUGGAUAUGUUUUUAUUGCCAUUUUGUCACUUUUUCCUUUUUUGGGGUAUUUUAGUAGUUCUUCUCAGUUCCUUUCUUUUUCUCUUGCUCUCUUCCCUUGUGGUUUGAUGGCUAUCUUUAGUAAUUUGUUUGAUUUCUUUUGUCUUACUUUUUUUCCUGCUUGUUAUAGGUUUCUGGUUUGUGGUUACCAUGAAGAUCCUAUUUAAUAUACUAUGCAUAUAACAGUCUAUAUAGAGUAGAUAGACUCUUUAGCUUGACCUCUUUCUAAAAUCUCUACUUUUCCACUCCCCCCUCCCACAUUAUAUGUUUUUCACAUCAUAUGUAGUCUUUUGCUUAGUGUGUGUCUUUCCAUUACCCUCUUAUCAUUGAAAU
rnacentral:lncRNA from 1 species